rnacentral:tRNA from 1 species
AAAAAAUUAGUUAAACAAAUAACAUUAGUAUGUCAAACUAAAAUUAUUAUAUCUAUAAUAUUUUUUA